AGUUCGUUUACUAUUUAUUUUGAUGGGAUUUCGGUCACUGUAUAAACUGCCCAGAUUUACCCUGAUGCUAUGGAUGUUUAUUUUUAUGAGCGAGAAAUUGUGUAUGACCGCGUGCCAAGCAUGUGUGGCCGUGUGACGUGAUUGUGUGAUGGUAAUGUGUGUUGGCGUAAGGCAUGUGUGGUGUGGGAUUGUGUAUGGCCGUGUGUAUGUGUGGCCGUGUGGUACGUGUGGAAUGUGUGGAACGAAGGUACGGAAAGGUAGGAUUGGUUGGAAAAGGGGAUCCGUCCUGAGGCGUGUACGUUUACGCGGGACGAUGCCGUCCCUGACGAGGUGACGAUGCCCGGCCCGAUGGGGUGUCGAUGCCUGACGAGGUCAGAAGACCGUUGGCCUGAUGCGUUUUACGCGGGCACGGUAAUUAAGGAAAGGGAGAGGUAGGAUUCCUUCCUGAGGCGUGUUCGUUUACGCGGGACGAUGCCGUCCCUGACGAGGUGACGAUGCCCGGCCCGACAGGGUGACGAUGCCUGACGAGGUCAGAAGGCCGUUGGCCUGAUGCGUUUUACGCGGGCGCGGUAGUGGUGGAAGAGUUGAGAUCGAGCAGGAAUUGGCUUGAGACCCCCAGCCGUAAACCCAGGGAACCGCCUCCUCUUUUUGAAGUGCGAAGAGUCGCUCUUGGUGCCCAGUGGAACUGCAAGUGAGUUUCCGGAGACUCAAGCCCAAAGAAUCAUGAGUAGAAUGGAAAUGAGGAUGACCAGUAGGCUUUCCCUAGGGUAUUUUAGGGGUUUUUUAACUUGGGUUAUCCGAUAGUGAAGUUAAGAUAACCAAACCCCUGAUAUUUUGUUAUGACGGUGAUUUCGGAUGCUAGUUUGCUGCAUAUGUUUGUAAUAUAAUGUUAGUUUUUGUGGUGCAGUAAUAUUGUAUGAAAUGCUGUU